rnacentral:rRNA from 1 species
GAUGAACGCUGGCGGCGCGCCUAACACAUGCAAGUCGAACGGUUAAAGCACCUUUUAGGUGUGUAUAAAGUGGCGAACGGCUGAGUAACACGUGGGCAACCUGCCCUCCUCUUGGGGAUAGCCUCGGGAAACCGAGGAUAAUACCCGAUACUUCAAUGUGGCCGCAUGACGACAUUGAGAAAGCUUUUGCGGAGAAGGAUGGGCCCGCGGCCUGUUAGCUUGUUGGUGGGGUAGAGGCCUACCAAGGCAAUGAUGGGUAGCUGGGUUGAGAGACCGACCAGCCAGAUUGGGACUGAGACACGGCCCAGACUCCUACGGGAGGCAGCAGUGGGGAAUCUUGCACAAUGGGCGAAAGCCUGAUGCAGCGACGCCGCGUGCGGGAAGAAGGCCUUCGGGUUGUAAACCGCUUUCAGCAGGGACGAGGCGAAAGUGACGGUACCUGCAGAAGAAGCCCCGGCUAACUACGUGCCAGCAGCCGCGGUAAUACGGAAGGUCCUGGCGUUAUCCGGAUUUAUUGGGUUUAAAGGGAGCGUAGGCCGUGGAUUAAGCGUGUUGUGAAAUGCAGGUGCUCAACGUCUGCACUGCAGCGCGAACUGGUCCACUUGAGUGUGCGCAACGCAGGCGGAAUUCGUCGUGUAGCGGUGAAAUGCUUAGAUAUGACGAAGAACUCCGAUUGCGAGGGCAGCUUGCGGGAGCACAACUGACGCUGAAGCUCGAAAGUGCGGGUAUCGAACAGG